rnacentral:rRNA from 1 species
CCUACGGGAGACAGCAGUGAGGAAUAUUGGUCAAUGGCCGGAAGGCUGAACCAGCCAUGCCGCGUGAAGGUCAGUGCCCUAUGGGCGUUAAACUUCUUUUGUGCGGGAGCAAUAAUGGUCACGUGUGGCCAGACGAGAGUACCGUACGAAUAAGCAUCGGCUAACUCCGUGCCAGCAGCCGCGGUAAUACGGGGGAUGCAAGCGUUAUCCGGAUUUAUUGGGUUUAAAGGGUGCGAAGGCUGUGAGGUAAGUCAGCGGUGAAAUGCCCCCGCUCAACGGGGUGAAGUGCCAUUGAUACUGCCUUGCUGGAAUGCGGAUGCCGUGGGAGGAAUGUGUGGUGUAGCGGUGAAAUGCAUAGAUAUCACACAGAACACCGAUUGCGAAGGCAGCUCACGAAUCCGCGAUUGACGCUGAUGCACGAAAGCGUGGGUAUCAAACAGGAUUAGAUACCCGUGUAGUC